UCACACAAGAGACCCAAAUUAACCGUAAACGGCGUAAAGAGUGGUAUCAUGUUAUCUCAACAACUAAGACCAAAGUACAACUGAGCUGUCAUAAGCCUAAGAUGUACCUAAGACUCCCCUUAAAACGAUCUUAGCGCCUUUGAUUAAUUUAAUUCCACGAAAGCUAAGGCACAAACUGGGAUUAGAUACCCCACUAUGCUUAGCCCUAAAUCUUGAUGCUCUCUCCUGCACUAAGCAUCCGCCCGAGAACUACGAGCACAAACGCUUAAAACUCUAAGGACUUGGCGGUGCCCUAAACCCACCUAGAGGAGCCUGUUCUAUAAUCGAUAACCCACGUUACACCCGACCACCCCUUGCCAGAGCAGCCUACAUACCGCCGUCGCCAGCCCACCUCCCCUGAGAGUCCAACAGUGAGCACAAUAGCCCAAACCCGCUAAUAAGACAGGUCGAGGUAUAGCCCACGGGGUGGAAGAAAUGGGCUACAUUUUCUAGGAUAGAAAC
rnacentral:rRNA from 1 species